CCGACCUUAGCUCAGUUGGUAGAGCGGAGGACUGUAGUUGGGUGUAAACCUUUCAGAUAUCCUUAGGUCGCUGGUUUGAACCCGGCAGGUCGGA
rnacentral:tRNA from 1 species